rnacentral:lncRNA from 1 species
AGCACUCUGACAGAAACACCAUUCUUAAUUCAGUACAAAUGGGAAACCUGAUGUUGGUAAAAAUUCAGGAGAAGAAUGAGAAAAUAAUAUAUAGAAAUAGGAAACUGUUUUUAGAAAAGCAUAUAUAGGGUAUUAUUAGAGAGAUUUGGGUAAGUCAGUUCAUAGCGUAGAAUCAUUAAGGUUGGAAAAGACUGCUAAGAUCAUCCAGUCUAACCAUCAGCCCAUCCCCAUCAUGACCACUAAGCAUGUCCCCACUAAUCUAAACUCUUCUUGAAUGCCUCCAGGAAUGAUGACUCUACCGCCUCCCUAGGCAGCCAUUUCCAAUACCUCCCACUCUAAGAAGGAUUUUUUCCUAAUAUCCAACCUCAGUCUAUCAACCAAAUCUCUGUGCGCCAAGGGGUACCUUUAAGGCAUGUUGUUUUCCUAUGCACUUCUUGCUCAGAAGCAUCACCCAAGACCUCAAGUUACUCCCAAAUAGACAACCUAUUGAUUUUCUACUUAUUCCCUCAGGUUUCGAAUUACUGAAAUUAAACUAAGCUAUUCCUGAUUUAUAGCAGUGUAAACAAGAGGAAUUCAGCCCUGCUGAAGAUGUCUGACCUGAAAAACAUUAUGCAUUUUUCCAAUGCAGCUGUCUGAGUCAUUUUCCUUAUACUGUGUAAUACCUUAUUGUACCAACAGGCAGGUUAAAACCAUCUUUGCAUUCAUAGUGGAAGGCUCUGCCAUUCUUGAGAUCUAUCACCACAGACCUUGGGCAAAGCUCUUUAGCUCUUACACAGUGAAGGAAAAUAAGGGAAGCAACAAGCUAUUAAAAUGGAUACUUGAUUCAUUUUAUUCAUUUAAAUGAUGUUAAUGUUAGCUUUUAAUGUAGACAGAGAAGUGUAGACAAGAAAGUACUGGAAAUUAGAUAGGAAUAGAUACACCAGCAAGUGGAAGCCUGGACUUUCUAUCCUUCUGUACCCAGAGCAGCCCUUCAAGUCCUUCAGGACUGAGACUUCAGGCUUUCAUUUGCCCACAGCUGUGAAUAUCGGAUUGGAAAAGUAAGAGUAAGGACCUGAAACUACUCACUCUGUGCCAGCGGCCUGGCUGUGUUUUUGAAAGCACAGGAAAGAAGAAGGCAGUGCACUGAAAUGCAGGUGUCUUGUCUCAUAACAAACAUAGACAUGAACACUCCAAGGAAAAUUUUCCAUUGCUGAGACAAACUUAAGGUGUUUUUAGGGUUUGGUCUGGGCACACGUACAAGACCUGAGGCUUCUGGGGCAGAUUUCCUAGCUGUGAUGGUGAGUGUGAGUUUUGAUCUUGGGAAAUCCAUGAGGGGAUUAUAUCCUUUUGCCUCUCCUCAUUGUUUCUGCUGAUGUACAGCACUGUUGUUGUUUUUAAGUCAGUAUUUGUUAUUAUUAUUGCAUUUGUUAUGGCUUACUUUACUAAUUUAUAAUACCUACUGCCUAGCAACAAGUGGCUUCAAUUUAAACAAUAUAUAUAAAUUUUAAAAAUCCACAUAAAUUAACAUCUCAUCUUCAACAUGUGCCGGUGUACAGCCACCACUAAUUUGUCAUUAGCUGGUAAUUAAAGCUAGAGGCAGAAUAAUAGUCUACCUAAAGACAGGCAGCAGUGAAAGCUGAAUGAACAACAUACAGUGGAGGAUCUCCUCUCCCCUUGCAAAGGGUAUCACAUUGAAUCUAGGAGACAGGAAGUCAGCUAUGGGAAGAGGAAUGUGCCUUUCUGGCUCAGGAACAGUGGUUUCAACUUCGUCCAGCUUAUCUAUGUUAAGAGGAUACCUUUCUCAGUCUGCGUGCUGAUAAAACAAAAUAAAGUUUCUUUGCACAUGUCA